UUGAUUCACUGAUUGAGUUGCUGUUUACCCAAUAAAUUUGUUUUAGACUUCGUAGCAUAAGCUUUCUGAAUUUCGAUGAUCUGAAUAUUUAUUUUUAUCUUACACAAUUUUGGAUUGUGUAUACAGUCCACCAGAGACCAAGUAUUACUGCGUUGAUUUUACUCUGUUGGAAUGGACAUCCAUUUCUAGAUUGCGAGACGGAGUUCAAAUUUUUCUGGCUGCAAACAAAGUUCCAAGAGAACCCAGAAAACACCAAGAAAUCCAAAUUCAACCGCUCGCCAUUUGAGAUUCUACCUUAUUUUCCUUGCACAUCGGAGGGAAUUUUGAAUGUUGUCUCCUAUUUUCCACCAGAAAGACUGGAUGGGUUAUGGUUUUUUCACAAGCAGACACACUAUCAUUUGGGAGUGACUCCUCUAGUAGGCUGGCUCAAACCCCAUAUGGUCCCAGAAGUUUUCAACGUAUAAGUGCCUCUUCAUUACUCAAAAGAGCAGGCGCAGAUCAACAAGCAAACAACAAAACAGAAGAAAAGAUAUUUCGGAGACGCAGAAAGUGGAGAAAUUGAUAGUUCGAAACAGUCACAAAUUCUGUCUAAAGAGGACAAACGGGCUAUGCAUACCAAUGCAAAUCAUGCAAAUAUGACAAAUAGUUUCGCUGCUAGAGCUAAAAUUAAGCUGAAAGAUGAUUUAGACGAAGGAGAAAUAGUUGAAGACGACGAAGAUCCGUUUGAAACUCCUGGAAGUGUACGAAUGCAAAUGAGCAGUGACGUCGCUGGAAGUAGUAGUCAAGAUUAUGACCAGAUGAUGUGACAAGUCGGUG